UACGAAGGUCCCGAGCGUUGUUCGGAAUCACUGGGCGUAAAGGGAGCGUAGGCGGCGCGGUAAGUCAGAUGUGAAAUCCCGGGGCUCAACCCCGGAACUGCAUCCGAUACUGCCGUGCUAGAGGAUUGGAGAGGUAGCUGGAAUUCUUGGUGUAGCAGUGAAAUGCGUGGAGAUCAAGAGGAACACUCGUGGCGAAAGCGAGCUACUGGACAAUUCCUGACGCUGAGGCUCGAAGGCCAGGGUAGCGAAAGGG
rnacentral:rRNA from 1 species